rnacentral:rRNA from 1 species
CGCCUGUUUAUCAAAAACAUUUCUUGAUAAGUUUCAAGUAUGCCCUGCUCAAUGAUUUAUUUAAAUAGCCGCAGUAAUUUGACUGUGCUAAGGUAGCGUAAUCAUUAGUCUUUUAAUUAAGGUCUAGAAUGAAGGGGUAUACGAUGGGGUUUGAGUAAUGGAGGUGUGGUUUGAAGUUUUAUUUUAAGUGAAAAUGCUUAAGUUUUAUUAAAGACGGAAAGACCCUAGAAGUUUUAUAAUAUUUAUUUCGUUGGGGUAACGGUUGGAGAACAGGUUUUAAUAUGUUUAGUAAAUUACUCUAGGGGUAACAGGACAAUUUAAAAAGUUAGUUCGUAUAUGUUUUUAAGGUUGUUACCUCGAUGUUGGAUCAUCUCAUCUUAUGCUGUGUAUAGGUUUGGGUCUGUUCGACCUGUGUGAGUUACGUGAUCUGAGUUCAAACCGGAG